UGGCUCCAAAAACAAUAACAAAAAUGUGUGCGUGUGCAUAUGCGUGUGUCCAUGCCGGCCUUUGUCUGAAGCUUUCAAAUGACAUAACCAUAUAUGUAUGCUCUAUAUAUUUCAGCAAUAAAUACAGAAAUAGUUGCAGCUACUCAGCAGGCAUCAAACAUGCUUAUGCUUAUUUUUACAGACAGAAGCACUGUUAGUUUGAUUAAUGAAAAGUGAGGCCAAAAAUUAAAAGUAUGUACUCACCCUCAUGUUAUUUCCUAACUUGUAUGAAAUAGACAGUCAAAUGAAAGUCAACGUGGUCCAAUGUUGUUUUGGAAGAAAAGAUACAUUUGAAACAUUCUUCAAAAUAUGUGUUCUGCAGAAGAAAGAACUUCAUAGAUGUUUGGAACUACACAAGAAUAAGUAAAUGAUGACAGAAUUUUUUUUUUUUUUUUUGCAUGAACUAACCCUUGAAAAGAGACCAGGGCAAAGAAAGCAAAAUAGAUAAAGGGACCUGGCAUAUUCAAUCCACAUCACACUGACAUUGUGAAGCCCACAGUCAAAAGUUCUAUUUUCAUUUGCCACUGCGUCCUUGUGGUCUGGAAAUGACCAGGCUGGCCUGGAAUAUUGUAUUCAGUCAGUUAUCUGUGUAACCGCAUUCAUCUGUAUGGUCAAUAGCAAGAAUAACUCUCCACAACGUGAUGAUGUAGUGGAAAUGAAUAACAGCUUGGGGUUUCUUGUGUUUACGUGUCCUGGAGUCACUCGGCAUGACAAACCGAAAGCAGUUGAGGAUGGAGCUACAGCAACAAAGAGUCAACUCACUGAAGAUCAGCUGCCUCAGCUAUACAAACUCUUUUCCCUAACUCCAGUUGGAGCAAGACUUUCUACUCCACAAAAGCAGUGUGAGCUUCUGGACGGAAUGUAACAGCACAGAGCCAGCAAAACCAGAGAUGAAACGUGGGCUUCAGCUUUGCAGAACAGAAUUUCAGUAGGGUGUCGUGGCAAGUACUAAAUAAAUUGGCUUAUGAGACUGUACUUCAUGUUGGAAUGAGCUUUCAGCGACUGGCUUUGAAAGGGAUGUUCUCAAUCUCUGACACAUAUAUCUUUAAAUUGGAAUUCAUGGAAUGCUUUUCCCCAGAGCAGGUGCUUCCCGAAACCUCAGCCAAUGCAUGUGCUCCUAAUUGAAGGUCAUCUGUGGGAGAGUAAACUCUAG
ensembl:lncRNA